GGGCCUGUAGCUCAGUUGGCUAGAGCGCUGCAUUCGCAUUGCAGAGGCCGGCGGUUCGACUCCGCCCAGGUCCACCC
rnacentral:tRNA from 1 species